rnacentral:rRNA from 1 species
GAUGAACGCUGGCGGCGUGCUUAACACAUGCAAGUCGAACGAUGAAGCCCAGCUUGCUGGGUGGAUUAGUGGCGAACGGGUGAGUAACACGUGAGUAACCUGCCCUUAACUCUGGUAUAAGCCUGGGAAACUGGGUCUAAUACCGGAUAGGAGCGUCCACCGCAUGGUGGGUGUUGGAAAGAUUUAUCGGUUUUGGAUGGACUCGCGGCCUAUCAGCUUGUUGGUGAGGUAAUGGCUCACCAAGGCGACGACGGGUAGCCGGCCUGAGAGGGUGACCGGCCACACUGGGACUGAGACACGGCCCAGACUCCUACGGGAGGCAGCAGUGGGGAAUAUUGCACAAUGGGCGCAAGCCUGAUGCAGCGACGCCGCGUGAGGGAUGACGGCCUUCGGGUUGUAAACCUCUUUCAGUAGGGAAGAAGCGAAAGUGACGGUACCUGCAGAAGAAGCACCGGCUAACUACGUG